rnacentral:rRNA from 1 species
UACGGGGGGGGCAAGCGUUGUUCGGAAUUACUGGGCGUAAAGGGCUCGUAGGCGGCCAACUAAGUCAGACGUGAAAUCCCCCGGCUUAACCAGGGAACUGCGUCUGAUACUGGAUGGCUUGAGUUUGGGAGAGGGAUGCGGAAUUCCAGGUGUAGCGGUGAAAUGCGUAGAUAUCAGUCGGAACACCCGUGGCGAAGGCGGCUUCUUGGGCCGUUCCUGACGCUGAUGCGCGAAAGCUAGGGGAGCGAACGGG